UGCAUGGCGUCACUCCCAGGCAGUAGGUGGGUGUGGUCUUCACUGACUGGUUGAACAUAAAAGCCUGAAUGCUGACACACACACAAACACACAUUCACUCAGAGAACACAGUAGCUGUUUCUCUCUUCCUCUGAUCCAUUUUCCUCCAGCUGAAGUGACAUCUAUAAGACCUGGACUUUUCAGUAUCUUGAAAAGUUCUUGGGAACGUCUGUAGCUGACAAGUUGUUGGAAAGCAAAUAUGUCUCUGCCAUUGUCCUUCCUGAUMUGUCUGUCAGUCUUCAACCUGUGUUUGGCAACUGGGCCUGUGGAGAAAGUCAUUGAAAUCG